GAUGAACGCUAGCGGCAGGCUUAAUACAUGCAAGUCGAGGGGUAGCAAGAUUGUAGCAAUACAAUUGUUGACGACCGGCAAACGGGUGCGGAACACGUACACAACCUUCCUACAAGUGGGGAAUAGCCCAGAGAAAUUUGGAUUAAUACCCCGUAACAUAGCGAUGUGGCAUCACAUUGCUAUUAUAGCUUCGGCGCUUGUUGAUGGGUGUGCGGCUGAUUAGAUAGUUGGCGGGGUAACGGCCCACCAAGUCUACGAUCAGUAGCUGAUGUGAGAGCAUGAUCAGCCACACGGGCACUGAGACACGGGCCCGACUCCUACGGGAGGCAGCAGCAAGGAAUAUUGGACAAUGGACGCAAGUCUGAUCUAGCCAUGCCGCGUGAAGGAUUAAGGUCCUCUGGAUUGUAAACUUCUUUUAUAAGGGACGAAAAAAGGUCUUUCUAGAUCGUCUGACGGUACCUUAUGAAUAAGCACCGGCUAACUCCGUGCCAGCCGCCGCCGUAACAC
rnacentral:rRNA from 1 species